UCUGGUUGAUCCUGCCGGACCCCACUGCUAUCGGGAUAGGACUAAGACAUGCUAGUCGAGUGCCUCAGCCAAAACGAGGCACGGCACACAGCUCAGUAACACGUGGCUAACCUGCCCUUGGGAUAGGAACAACCCCGGGAAACUGGGGCUAAUUCCCAAUAGGCGAAGAACUCUGGAAUGAGUCUUCACCAGAAAAGACUCGUGCGUUAUGCUCGUGCGUUUCGCCCAAGGAUGGGGCCGCGACCGAUCAAGUUGUUGGUGAGGUAAUGGCUCACCAAGCCUUUAACCGGUGCGGGCCGUGAGAGCGGGAGCCCGGAGAUGGGCACUGAGACAAGGGCCCAGGCCCUACGGGGCGCAGCAGUCGCGAAAACUUUGCAAUACACGAAAGUGUGACAGGGCUAUCCCGAGUGCCAUCCGCUGAGGAAGGCUUUUACCCAGUCUAGAAAGCUGGGGGAAUAAGGAGAGGGCAAGUCUGGUGUCAGCCGCCGCGGUAAUACCAGCUCUCCGAGUGGUGUGGAUGUUUAUUGGGCCUAAAGCAUCCGUAGCUGGCUAAGUUAGUCCCUUGUUAAAUCCACCGAAUUAAUCGUUGGAUUGCGGGGGAUACUGCUUGGCUAGGGGACGAGAGAGGCAGACGGUAUUUUCGGGGUAGGGGUGAAAUCCUAUAAUCCCGGGAAGACCACCAGUGGCGAAGGCUGUCUGCUAGAACGCGCCCGACGGUGAGGGAUGAAAGCUGGGGGAGCGAACCGGAUUAGAUACCCGGGUAGUCCCAGCUGUAAACGAUGCAGGCUAGGUGUUUGGACGGCCACGUGCCGUUCUAGUGCCGCAGGGAAGCUGUUAAGCCUGCCGCCUGGGGAGUACGAUCGCAAGAUUGAAACUUAAAGGAAUUGGCGGGGGAGCA
rnacentral:rRNA from 1 species